GAUGUGCUCCCAUGAAUUUUCUCCUCUUUCACUCCUCAAGCUCAGCACUUUGUUUUCAUCUGAGCCAUAGAAUGAGAUCACUGCAAGACUGCCUUUUGACAUCUUCAUCUGCAAAAGGAUCCUGCAGCCAAGACUCAGUAUGUGAAGUCAAUUCAACGUCUCUCCAGUGGUCAAGACCUCCUCAACGGGCUUGGGACCUGGUACUGAGGCGAGAGAAAAGGAGCAGAGGACAUCAUCGAAUGUGCCACCAGAAACAAGGAGGUCAGGGUGAGAAAAUGUUCCAUAGACGAUGGUCUCUUCUGCCUUGGACACAGGUCACAUUUCUUGGUUCAAUUCUUGGUUCAAUUCAGUGUGUCCCACAGACAUUCAAUUCAAGUAUUUUUCUCAUCUCCUAUCCAUGAACAUCGUGUACACAAAGGUUUCCCAGCCCCAUGGAAGAUGAACCGCGCAGUGGGGUGUGGUCCAUGAUGCAUCCCUGGGAGAUGUCUUGAAGACAGAGAACCCCAGCCGCUGUAACGUGGAAGAAAGUGGACUGUCUGGGAGCUCUCAGGGGAAGGGCAAUAUUGAGCGCUUCUCCACAUCUAGGGAGUGGAAACUCCCCCCCAAGGCCUGAAGCUUGCCUCCCUUCCUAUUACUCUGAUUUUUGGUUUAGAAGCAAGAGGCCUAGGGAGAUGGGAGUGAAUUCAGGAACACACACUCUCUAGACUUGAGCUCCAAUUCCCCAUUGCUCAAAGCUUUAACUGUUUUGGCAGUUUCCAACCUUUUAAGAACCACAGAAGACUUUCAACCUUUCUUCUGCCACCAUGUAACCCCCAGAUAACAAGACCUAAAAGCAUUGCCAUUGUUCCUGCCUUCUUUAAUAAAAUAAAAUGGG